rnacentral:rRNA from 1 species
UGGGGAAUAUUGGACAAUGGGGGAAACCCUGAUCCAGCCAUGCCGCGUGAAUGAUGAAGGCCUUCGGGUUGUAAAGUUCUUUUGACGGGGACGAUGAUGACGGUACCCGUAGAAUAAGCUCCGGCUAACUUCGUGCCAGCAGCCGCGGUAAUACGAAGGGAGCUAGCGUUGUUCGGAAUUACUGGGCGUAAAGGGCGCGUAGGCGGUCUGAUAAGUCAGGUGUGAAAGCCCUGGGCUCAACCCAGGAACUGCGCUUGAUACUGACAGACUUGAAUUUGGUAGAGGUAAGUGGAAUUCCCAGUGUAGAGGUGAAAUUCGUAGAGAUUGGGAAGAACAUCCGUGGCGAAGGCGGCUUACUGGACCAACAUUGACGCUGAGGCGCGAAAGCGUGGGGAGCAAACA